GAAGAGGGAAACAACCCAGACCGCCAGCUAAGGUCCCAAAGUCAUGGUUAAGUGGGAAACGAUGUGGGAAGGCCCAGACAGCCAGGAUGUUGGCUUAGAAGCAGCCAUCAUUUAAAGAAAGCGUAAUAGCUCACUGGUCGAGUCGGCCUGCGCGGAAGAUGUAACGGGGCUAAACCAUGCACCGAAGCUGCGGCAGCGACGCUUAUGCGUUGUUGGGUAGGGGAGCGUUCUGUAAGCCUGUGAAGGUGUACUGUGAGGUAUGCUGGAGGUAUCAGAAGUGCGAAUGCUGACAUAAGUAACGAUAAAGCGGGUGAAAAGCCCGCUCGCCGGAAGACCAAGGGUUCCUGUCCAACGUUAAUCGGGGCAGGGUGAGUCGACCCCUAAGGCGAGGCCGAAAGGCGUAGUCGAUGGGAAACAGGUUAAUAUUCCUGUACUUGGUGUUACUGCGAAGGGGGGACGGAGAAGGCUAUGUUGGCCGGGCGACGGUUGUCCCGGUUUAAGCGUGUAGGCUGGUUUUCCAGGCAAAUCCGGAAAAUCAAGGCUGAGGCGUGAUGACGAGGCACUACGGUGCUGAAGCAACAAAUGCCCUGCUUCCAGGAAAA
rnacentral:rRNA from 1 species